rnacentral:lncRNA from 1 species
CGUGCGUGUGCGUGUGCGUGUGCAGCGUGGGCCGGCCCCCAGCCUCCGGAGACGCCGGCAGUGCCCGUCGUGGGACAGCCACCGAGCCCAGAGCAGCGGACACCAUGGUCCCGUGGGACCCCACGUGGUGCCUGCUGCUGGGGCUCUGCGCCCUGCUCCCCGUCGCCGGCACCCAGGGGACCCCAACCGAGGAUGCGGUGCCGGGGGUCCCCGAGCGCUGCGGCGUCACCUUCCACACCCCCAACCCCUGCGGGGCCCCCCAAACUCCCCCCUCGGCCUCUCGCCAAGAGCUGGAGCAUCUCCAGAGCCUCCUGCAGCAAACCAGGCCAGCCUGCAGGACGUGGAAGCGGCGGCGGCGCUGGAGGAGCACCGGCCCCGCUACCAGGACGUGAUCGCCGAGGCGCUGCCCGCCAUCCGCGGGGCCAACCGGGAGUUCCAGGAGAGCCUGGACAACGUCCGCAGGGAGCUGGAGGCGCACGUGGCCGAGAGCGAGCACCCGCAGGAGGUGGAGAAGAGGGAGAAGCUGCGGAAGGACGUCCGCGUGGUGGCCCACGUCCUGCGGCUCACCGCCCGCCUGGCCCGCGCCCUCGACGCCUCCUCGCAACGCCUCCAGGACGAGCUCCACCAGCGCCUGCAGCGCUCGGCCGCCCGCGCUGCUGCCGCCCCCCAGCCCUAAGGCUCUGCCCCCCACUUUCUAUAUGGCCUUGCUUGCUGGUAGGACCCUAUUUUGCCCCCCAGCCGGCUCGCCCUCACCGCUUUCGGGGUGCCCGGCUCCAACACACGGUCCCUGGGGUUUGGGGGAGCGAGCUGGGUGCCGGGCUGGCACCGGCGCACUGCCCAUAGCCCCAGCCCCAAGUUUUUAACGCAUUUAUCCCGCAGGAGCUGCGCCCUGCUGGGGCACAACCCCGUGCACCCUACACACGGGGAGAUCCCCCCCACUGCAGGCUCCUUCGCCACCGAGCUCUGCGCCCUCGGGCCCUCCCCGAGGUUGCUUUGUGCACGCAGCUUGCCAGGCUUGUGUGCCAGUAUCUGGGGGCUCCCCAGCACCCCCAGAGUGCCUUAAAAACGAACCCCAAAUCCUUCGGGGCUCGGCUGGUGACCUCCCCGCAUCGCAGCCCUCCUGGAUGCGUCCCCGCGUGGGCAGAGCCACCGCCAGCCCCCGUUAAUCCGUCACACAGGCCUGAAACACCCCCAGCACCCCACCGGCUGCUGGGAGCAGGAGGCUGGGGGGCUGCAGGAAUGGGGACAGGGAUGGGGACAGGGAUGGGGACGGGGAUGGGGACGGGGUUGGGGACAAGGUGGCUGCGCAUGUGCACGAACCACCCAGCAGUAAAAUCGAAGCUGGCAACCGGAGCGCACCGAGCCCAGGGGGGGUUUGGGCACCAGGAAAAGAGCUGGAGGCAGAACACCCCGCUGUUUUCGGGAGCCAGGGGGGGUCUGCAGGCACAGCGUGUCCUGGGCCACCCCGGCGUGCUGGGUGUGGGGUCCCCUGCUGUCCCCAUGGGGUCCCGGGGAUGGGCACGAGGUCAGGGAUGCCCGGGGCAGCGGCACGGCACGAUUUGAGGCGCUGCAGGGCAGGGGAAUAA